rnacentral:rRNA from 1 species
AGGACGAACGCUGGCGGCGUGCUUAACACAUGCAAGUCGAACGAGGUCCAUUCAGUGGAAACACUGGAGAAGACCGAGUGGCGAACGGGUGAGUAACACGUGAGCAACCUGCCCCGAAGACUGGGAUAACAGCGGGAAACCGCUGCUAAUACUGGAUGCCCCCACCGGGCCGCAUGACCUGGUGAGGAAAUGGAUUCCGCUUCGGGAGGGACUCGCGGCCUAUCAGCUUGUUGGUGGGGUAACGGCCUACCAGGGCAACGACGGGUAGCUGGUCUGAGAGGACGAUCAGCCACACUGGGACUGAGACACGGCCCAGACUCCUACGGGAGGCAGCAGUGGGGAAUCUUGCGCAAUGGGCGAAAGCCUGACGCAGCAACGCCGCGUGGAGGACGAAGGCUUUCUGAGUUGUAAACUCCUUUCAGCAGGGACGAUAGUGACGGUACCUGCAGAAGAAGCACCGGCCAACUACGUGCCAGCAGCCGCGGUGAUACGUAGGGUGCAAGCGUUGUCCGGAUUUAUUGGGCGUAAAGAGCUCGUAGGCGGUUUGAUAAGUCGGGUGUGAAACCUCCAAGCUCAACCUGGAGCCGCCACUCGAUACUGUCAUGACUAGAAUUCGGUAGGGGACCACGGAAUUCCUGGUGUAGCGGUGAAAUGCGCAGAUACCAGGAGGAACACCAGCAGCGAAGGCGGUGGUCUGGGCCGACAUUGACGCUGAGGAGCGAAAGCGUGGGGAGCGAACAGGAUUAGAUACCCUGGUAGUCCACGCCGUAAACGUUGGGCACUAGGUGUGGGGACUAUUCAACGGUUUCCGCGCCGCAGCUAACGCAUUAAGUGCCCCGCCUGGGGAGUACGGUCGCAAGACUAAA